rnacentral:siRNA from 1 species
UUGAACAAUUUCAUGGACCGA